GAGAAGUAGGUGCGAGCAGUCGCGGUGUACUGUAGGGUGUGGGCGUUGUCCGGGUGUAUUGGGCGUAAAGGUGUCGUAGGGGUGUGGUGGCGGCGGGAGUGAAAGCACACAGCUUAACUGUGUGCGUGCUUUCGAUACGGGCAGACUUGAGGGAUGUAGGGGAGAACGGAAUUCCUGGUGGAGCGGUUGAAUGCGCAGAUAUCAGGAGGAACACCGGUGGCGAAGGCGGUUCUCUGGACAUUUCCUGACGCUGAGGAGCGAAAGCGUGGGGAGCAAACAGGAUUAGAUACCCGUGUAGUC
rnacentral:rRNA from 1 species